UCCUGUGAACCGCCCUGUACCUGGCGGGAAAGGGGAAGACCGCAGCACUAAGUGAGGUGGAGGCAGCGAUUGGGGGGUGGCGAAGUCUGGGGAGACACCGGUUGAAUCUGAAAGGUACCAGGGGAGCCAGCGGUCCCGUCCGUCCCUUGUUGAACUGGGACUCCCUUUCUGCGUCACCCCUCCCUCGGGAUGCACUCUGAAACUUUUUCAGCUCCCUCAAGAUUUGCUGUUUUCACCUGCUGGAAUAGAAACCCCAUGAGUGCGGGGUGUGUGUCUGUCUCCGGCUACAUUCCAUACAGGACUGCUACUUUGGGCCAUUGCCAUGUUUGCUCUGAUGCUCCUCUAUGAUUCUCUGGGGAAGCCAGCCAAAGUGCAUUGACAGAACUGGAGGCCUGUCACUUUUACUGUGUGGAGACUGACAAUCAAAGCCAACAGCACAGAAGGCAGAAUGCAGUCCUCUGAAUCUUGACUCCUUUUAUUUUAUUUAUUUAUUUUUUAAAAGUUUCUUCUUCUUAUUUAAUAAUCUCUACCCCCAAGGUGGGGCUUGAACUCACAACUACCCAAGAUCAAGAGUCACAUGUUCUUCUGACUGAGCCAGCCAGUGCCCCUUGACUCCUUACUUUGAAUAAUUUCUUUCUCUGCUACCUAUCAACUCCAGUAACCUUAACCAAUUCCCAGCUAAUCCCUGUUCCCAGUUUUCACAACAGCCUCCUAACCCGGCUCCCACUUCCUGUCCAUUGCCCACCCACAGUCAUCCACACUGUUCAGAACAGUGAGUGCAUUACUACCCACCUUUCCUAAGUCCCCCUUUGCCUUCAGCCUAAGGACCGAAAGAGUUCAGCCAUCAUCCUUCUGCUUUCAACUUCUGUUUCUUGCCUGCCUCUGGUCUCAUGUGUCCUCUAUCCCUCUCAAGUUUCAUCUCUAGCCAUAUCGAACUACUUUCACUGAGAGUUCAUCAGUUGCAAGAUAUUUUCCAUAAGACGUGGUUGCAGGCUCAGAGUCUGCUUAUUAAACGCUCCCAUGAAUUCGCUCAAGUGGCUCAGACUCCUUCUUUGUGUCCGAUAGCACUCAGUCUCUGUAACUGAAGAGAAGGUAGGAUCCCUCACUGAGCCACAUCACACCCCUCAAAACCUCCUGAAAUCAGACCCAUCCCUCUGAAGUUUGGUGUGGACACUGCACUCACCUGAAGGGGGAGAAGGGGAUGAAGGAGCAGGAAACUGGAGGUCCACUAGGAAAGAAGGAAAAGUUGGGAGAAUGAAAUAAACCAUUUACCUUUAUUUC